AGAUUUUCACGCUUCUGAAUGGUGAAUUCCAUUGGCGGAUUCGGAGUGGCCGACAAACUCUGUGCCGGAGCACUCCACUCCGGCGGAGAGCAACCGAAGGAAAUCUGUCAAUGGAACACGAGGGCCCCGCCAGAGCAAAUGGCUCUCCUGUAUGACAAGGAAGCAGUAGACGCGGCAUUCGCAAUGCUCAUUUUAUGUACUUCCAAGGGAUGCGGCCAAAGGACGACCUGCAGAUGUGCGAGUCACGUUUAUGGGAGCUGCAAAAAAGAAUUAAAGUGUAUCCCCAGUGUU
rnacentral:lncRNA from 1 species